ACUAGCAGUGAAAAUCUCCAGCUGGAGCCCAGCCUCUGGGUAGGCCCAGCAUGGAGGCAGCCACAGGUCCGGAGGUGGCCUCGGGAUCCAAGCUAAAGGUGAAGGAGACCUGCUCACCCGAGGCUGAACGACCCCAAGCUCCAACUGGACAGGAGGCUGGCUGCCCCAGUCACCAGCUCCUGCCUCCCAUAGAAGAGCACCCCAAGAUCUGGCUACCUCGGGCCCUGAGGCAGACCUACAUCCGACAGGUUGGGGACACAGUGAACCUACUAAUCCCAUUCCAGGGCAAGCCCAAACCUCAGGCCAUCUGGACACAUGAUGGAUGUGCCUUGGACACCAGUCGAGUGAGCGUGCGGAAUGGGGAGCGAGACUCCAUCCUCUUCAUCCGAGAAGCCCAACGUGCAGACUCAGGUCGUUACCAACUCCGAGUACAGCUGGGCGGGCUGGAGGCCACUACUACUGUUGACAUCCUAGUGAUCGAGAGACCAGGGCCUCCUCAGAGCAUUAAGUUGGUGGAUGUUUGGGGCUUCAGUGCUACGCUGGAAUGGACACCUCCACAAGAUACAGGCAAUACAGCCCUCUUGGGAUACACUGUGCAGAAGGCUGACACAAAGUCUGGGCUGUGGUUCACGGUGCUGGAGCGUUAUCACCGCACCAGCUGCAUCGUCUCUGAUCUCAUCAUCGGCAACUCCUAUGCCUUUCGCGUCUUUGCUGAAAACCAGUGUGGACUCAGUGAAACAGCCCCCAUCACCACUGAGCUUGCCCACAUCCAAAAAGCAGCUACUAUUUACAAGACCAAGGGGUUUUCCCAGCGAGACUUCUCUGAAGCCCCGAAGUUUACCCAGCCUCUGGCAGAUUGCUCUGCAGUCACUGGCUAUGAUACCCAGCUCUUCUGCUGUGUCCGCGCUUCCCCUCGGCCCAAGAUCAUCUGGCUGAAGAACAAGAUGGAUAUCCAAGGGGACCCCAAGUACAGAGCUCUAACUUACCUGGGCAUCUGCUCCCUAGAAAUCCGCAAGCCUGGUCCCUUUGAUGGAGGCAUCUAUACCUGCAAGGCAGUUAACCCUCUGGGGGAGGCAUCUGUGGAGUGUCGAGUGGAUGUGAAAAGUAAGGCCAGAAGGAGAACUGGUGCCUUAGGGGGCCAAUCAUCUCCUAUCUCCACAGGCGGCAAAAUCCAGGGCCAGAGAUGGCAAGCCUAGGUGGGGAAGGACUUCCCCCUCCAGGCCCUCUCACUGUCAUCAUCAGAAUGCAGUUUUUGGCCGGGGAGGGGUUUGAACCCACCACCUCCGGCAUAUGGGGCCGGCGCCCUACUCCUUUGAGCCACAGGCACCACCCUAUCACCAGAAUGUGUUUUUACUGCCCACUAUCGCAUGCCUCUCCACCACAAUUCUGCAACACAGGAAGAGUCUUUAUUUCUGUUUUGCAAAGGGAGAAACCUGAAACAUAGGGAGGGAACUGGUUUACCAAAGAUAUCCAGUGUUGGUUAAUAAAAAAAUUGCACUAUGGUGGCAAGAGCCCAAGCCAUCUGGUCCUCACUCAGGUCAUUGUUCUUUAAGCUGUACAAUCUUCUGACUCAGGAAAGCUGCAGCUGUUUGUUGGCCUGAUUUUACUUUUCCCGCUGAUUUGUUUAAAGCUCCUUAUUGAGGAUAGCUCAGAGGAGGAACGGCAUUCUGAGGAAGUGCUUCCAGGAAGCCAGACCGUGGCAAGACUGUGUUCAUAAGGAGCUGCAGCACCAUGUCUGGUUUGGACUAAUCUAAAUAAAUGUGUGGAUCCUCAGU